AUGUUCUUGGUGAAUUUAUGCUUUAAAGCAGCCGAACUAUUUUAUGGUGGUAUCACAUUAAUGUUCCAUUUGAGUGAAGCUUACCAUAAACGCAAACCCACAACUUCUCAUGACUGCUUCUGUUUAAGGGACCACGAAUUGUCAAACGUGGCUUUAAGUCUAAAGUCAUAUGCCAAAAAGCCUGACUACCCUUCAAAUAGUAACUUCGAAUACAAUCUGGCGCUUAAAAGACAACUAAAAAAUUGUAAAAGUAACAUUUCUCUUUUUUAUAUAUAUUUAUAUUUGAAACAUGACUUAAUAUAUUAG